UACAGAGGGUGCGAGCGUUAAUCGGAAUUACUGGGCGUAAAGCGCGUGUAGGCGGGGGGGCAAGUCUGCUGUGAAAGCGCCUGGCUUAACCGGGCGAGGUCGGCGGAAACUGCGUCCCUGGAGGGCAGUAGAGGGGGGUGGAAUUCCCGGUGUAGUGGUGAAAUGCGUAGAGAUCGGGAGGAACACCUGUGGCGAAGGCGGCCCCCUGGGCUGUACCUGACGCUGAGACGCGAAGGCGUGGGGAGCGAACGGG
rnacentral:rRNA from 1 species